rnacentral:lncRNA from 1 species
AAUAACAUAAGCAAUAUGCGCACAUUUUCAUUUCUCUGUUUCUCGUUUUGCCUCUUCCUUUUCCAACUGAACAAUAAUUUCACCUUCAAUGAGUUGUGCUUGUAGGUCAAUGUCAUCCCAUUCUCAGCAGCACGAUUCCUUUGAAACAAAUUAGCCCACUCCUUCCUCUUAGUACCCUUUCCCUUAGAAUUCGCCUCUUUCGGGGUAGAAGGUUUUGGUUCAGCAUUACUUUGCUCUUCCAUCACUAUUUCCCCAAUUCUAGAUGUACUGGCCUCUACAUCUCGCCCAGAUCUAGUAUUGAGCAACAAUGAUGUUAAUCGGUUUCUUUCGUGGUCUUCCACAUCCUCUAACUCCGCCUUUCCUUCUAGCCAUGUCACUCUCCGGAGCCGUCAAACUGGACGUGC